rnacentral:lncRNA from 1 species
CAGCCUUGCCUUUAGCACCUCCAAGGAUGGGGCACCUGCGGCUUCUCUGGGCAGCCUGUGCCAGUGCCAACCUCUCCCAGCCUGUUGGGAUGGCUGACGAGAGGCUGCUGCGCUGGCAGGAGGUACCCGCAUUUCCGCAGUCAGGCUCAGGGAAGCUGGCAGGAUGGAUGGCUCCGUGCAACACGCUGGGGCCAUUCCUUCCGUCACUCCUUCCCUUCAGCCCCUCUCCAUGGUGCUCAUUGUUCUCCUCCUUGCUUAGGUACUACCAUAUGGGAGCUGUGGAGAAAAGCGGCCAUUCUAUGCAUCGGUGAGUUUCUGAAGAGACAGGACAAGGAUGAGCGACAGAAAAUCAAAUUCCUGAGCAGCAUCUGCGUACUGUGCAAAUGCAAGGACACGUCGCUCGACUUGAAUACUUUCUGCCGAGAAAACCAGCUGGCAGAGAAUGUCCAGCACUGUGGAGACAGCACUGGAAGGCAAAACAGAGAGCAUCCUGAAUUCCUGCUUCAACAGUGUCUUCUUUUUGCCUCCGGAACUGGACGUACCAGAAGAGGAGCAAACUCUCUACACUAAGACCAUGAUUGCCAUGAACGUCAUGCUGCGAGCCUUGGUGCACAACUGCCCCAGCUCCAGAAUGAGGGAGGAGAUGUGCAGCAUCUUUCAGGUCUGGCAGCUACGGAGAGUGGGGUCACUAGGAGGGUUCCACACCCCGAGGGAUGCGCGUGUCGCUCCUGCAGUGGCACAGACCCUCCUUGCCCCAGACAGUCCUACAAAGGAUCCCAUCCCUGCUGCUCUGCUCUGCUCUGCUCUUCCUUCCCAGUGGGGAAGAUCCCAGAGCUCCUGCUGGAGCCACGCAAGCUCCCAGGGCAAGUACCAGCAGAUUCUCUCCUUGCAGGCUCUGCUCCACUUCUUCCACUCCCAGCACAUGCACGUUCGUACGAGAGCCCUGUACGGGGUUUUACGGAUGAUCACGGACUUUAUAGAAAAAGUAAGGAGCCAGGCACCCUCCAGCCAGGCUGUCUCCCAUCCUCCACAUCCCAGAGCAGCUCAGGGGUGCCUGCAGCCGGGGCACAGCUGGGAGCUCUCAGCAGGGCUCUGCCCCCAGACAAGGGUCUUUGCCCCUUCUUCGCCCCCGCUCUUCCCUCUCCACGCCCUGCUCUGCCUCCACUCAACCCCUCCUCUCUUCUCCUUCUGUCACCCAGGACUGGUACUGCGCUGCAAAUUGCGGGUUUAUAUAUGAGUCACUCAUCGAGGUCUACUUCCCAAUCCUGGGACAGCUGCUGGGUCACCUCUGCCUUUUCAGUUGUGGCCAACAUGCCACCAGAGUUCCAGCUACAGAUGCUCUUUAUCGCCUCUAUGCAUUUGUCAAACGCGAUAGAAGUAAGAGAAGAUGGGUUGGGCAGCAUCUCUGCGCUCCCGUGUCUGCUCGUUGUCUCCUGUUCUUGGGCACUGUUAAGCCUGGAGACCGUGGAGUCUGCAAGUUCCCUGGGCUCUUUUACUCUUCAGAGCAGCUUCAUCCUUCCUAAGCUGCCUCUCGUUCCAAGCACCCAUCACCUUUAGCUGUACAGUCCCUUUCCUCCACUCUCUUCUCCGUGGGUCCCAUCAGGCUAUGUCUGCUCACCAAUGGUCUCCAACACCACGGGUCUCCUCAGGCCUUUUCAGAUUAAAGCAGCUUUUCCCCACUUGCUGAGUUUGAUGGCAAAGACACUGUUUCCUUCUGACUCUUCUGUGUUCCCUCCCUUUUAGGAACAGCCCUGACAGAGGAGAUGGAAAAGUACGUGCAUCUCCGGGAGAAGCUGCAGGAUACUAAUUUUGCAUGCGAUAACUUGUGCAGUCCCAGUGAUUGUGCCAAGGUAACCUUCUGCCUUGCUGAGGAUCUCGUCCACAGCAUCAGCAGGAAAUGUUUGUGAG